UACGAAGGGUGCAAGCGUUACUCGGAAUUACUGGGCGUAAAGCGUGCGUAGGCGGUUUGUUAAGUCUGUCGUGAAAGCCCCGGGCUCAACCUGGGAAUGGCGAUGGAUACUGGCGAGCUAGAGUACGGUAGAGGAGAGUGGAAUCCCGGUGUAGCAGUGAAAUGCCGUAGAGAUCGGGAGGAACAUCAGUUGCGAAGGCGGCUCU
rnacentral:rRNA from 1 species